AGUAACGCGUGAGGAACCUGCCUCAAAGAGGGGGACGAACAGUUGGAAACGACUGCUAAUACCGCAUAAGCCCACGGUGCCGCAUGGCACAGAGGGAAAAGGAGCAAUCCGCUUUGAGAUGGCCUCGCGUCCGAUUAGCUAGUUGGUGAGGUAACGGCCCACCAAGGCAACGAUCGGUAGCCGGACUGAGAGGUUGAACGGCCACAUUGGGACUGAGACACGGCCCAGACUCCUACGGGAGGCAGCAUG
rnacentral:rRNA from 1 species